GACGAACGCUGGCGGCGUGCUUAACACAUGCAAGUCGAACGGAAAGGCCCUGCUUUUGUGGGGUGCUCGAGUGGCGAACGGGUGAGUAACACGUGAGUAACCUGCCCUUGACUUUGGGAUAACUUCAGGAAACUGGGGCUAAUACCGGAUAGGAGCUCCUGCUGCAUGGUGGGGGUUGGAAAGUUUCGGCGGUUGGGGAUGGACUCGCGGCUUAUCAGCUUGUUGGUGGGGUAGUGGCUUACCAAGGCUUUGACGGGUAGCCGGCCUGAGAGGGUGACCGGCCACAUUGGGACUGAGAUACGGCCCAGACUCCUACGGGAGGCAGCAGUGGGGAAUAUUGCACAAUGGGCGGAAGCCUGAUGCAGCAACGCCGCGUGCGGGAUGACGGCCUUCGGGUUGUAAACCGCUUUCGCCUGUGACGAAGCGUGAGUGACGGUAAUGGGUAAAGAAGCACCGGCUAACUACGUGCCAGCAGCCGCGGUGAUACGUAGGGUGCGAGCGUUGUCCGGAUUUAUUGGGCGUAGAGGGCUCGUAGGUGGUUGAUCGCGUCGGAAGUGUAAUCUUGGGGCUUAACCCUGAGCGUGCUUUCGAUACGGGUUGACUUGAGGAAGGUAGGGGAGAAUGGAAUUCCUGGUGGAGCGGUGGAAUGCCCAAAUAUCCGGGAGGAACCCCCGUGGGCAAGGGCGUUCUUUGGGCCUUUCCCGGCACCUAAGACCCAAAGCGUGGGGAGCGAACAGGCUAAGAUACCCUGGCAGUCCACGCUGUAAACGGUGGGUACUAGGUGUGGGGUCCAUUCCACGGGUUCCGUGCCGUAGCUAACGCUUUAAGUGCCCCGCCUGGGGAGUACGGCCGCAAGGCUAAAACUCAAAGGAAUUGACGGGGCCCCGCACAAGCGGCGGAGCAUGCGGAUUAAUUCGAUGCAACGCGUAGAACCUUACCUGGGUUUGACAUGGAUCGGGAGUGCUCAGAGAUGGGUGUGCCUCUUUUGGGGUCGGUUCACAGGUGGUGCAUGGCUGUCGUCAGCUCGUGUCGUGAGAUGUUGGGUUAAGUCCCGCAACGAGCGCAACCCUUGUUCACUGUUGCCAGCACGUUAUGGUGGGGACUCAGUGGAGACCGCCGGGGUCAACUCGGAGGAAGGUGGGGAUGACGUCAAGUCAUCAUGCCCCUUAUGUCCAGGGCUUCACGCAUGCUACAAUGGCUGGUACAGAGAGUGGCGAGCCUGUGAGGGUGAGCGAAUCUCGGAAAGCCGGUCUCAGUUCGGAUUGGGGUCUGCAACUCGACCUCAUGAAGUCGGAGUCGCUAGUAAUCGCAGAUCAGCAACGCUGCGGUGAAUACGUUCCCGGG
rnacentral:rRNA from 1 species